AUCUGGAGAGAGGCGCGACGCGCCCACCGAAGGGGAUCUUCCGCCGCAUCACCGCUUCACUGGCGCAAGAGAAACUCUCAGGUACAUGGACAGAU
rnacentral:ncRNA from 2 species